AUGCAGUCGAACGGUGAAGCCAAGCUUGCUUGGUGGAUCAGUGGCGAACGGGUGAGUAACACGUGAGCAACCUGCCCUGAACUCUGGGAUAAGCGCUGGAAACGGCGUCUAAUACUGGAUAUGAGCUGCGGAGGCAUCUUCGUGGUUGGAAAGAUUUUUCGGUUUGGGAUGGGCUCGCGGCCUAUCAGCUUGUUGGUGAGGUAAUGGCUCACCAAGGCGUCGACGGGUAGCCGGCCUGAGAGGGUGACCGGCCACACUGGGACUGAGACACGGCCCAGACUCCUACGGGAGGCAGCAGUGGGGAAUAUUGCACAAUGGGCGGAAGCCUGAUGCAGCAACGCCGCGUGAGGGAUGACGGCCUUCGGGUUGUAAACCUCUUUUAGCAGGGAAGAAGCGAAAGUGACGGUACCUGCAGAAAAAGCGCCGGCUAACUACGUGCCAGCAGCCGCGGUAAUACGUAGGGCGCAAGCGUUAUCCGGAAUUAUUGGGCGUAAAGAGCUCGUAGGCGGUUUGUCGCGUCUGCUGUGAAAUCUGGGGGCUCAACCCCCAGCCUGCAGUGGGUACGGGCAGACUAGAGUGCGGUAGGGGAGAUUGGAAUUCCUGGUGUAGCGGUGGAAUGCGCAGAUAUCAGGAGGAACACCGAUGGCGAAGGCAGAUCUCUGGGCCGUAACUGACGCUGAGGAGCGAAAGGGUGGGGAGCAAACAGGCUUAGAUACCCUGGUAGUCCACCCCGUAAACGUUGGGAACUAGUUGUGGGGUCCAUUCCACGGAUUCCGUGACGCAGCUAACGCAUUAAGUUCCCCGCCUGGGGAGUACGGCCGCAAGGCUAAAACUCAAAGGAAUUGACGGGGACCCGCACAAGCGGCGGAGCAUGCGGAUUAAUUCGAUGCAACGCGAAGAACCUUACCAAGGCUUGACAUACACGAGAACGCUGCAGAAAUGUAGAACUCUUUGGACACUCGUGAACAGGUGGUGCAUGGUUGUCGUCAGCUCGUGUCGUGAGAUGUUGGGUUAAGUCCCGCAACGAGCGCAACCCUCGUUCUAUGUUGCCAGCACGUAAUGGUGGGAACUCAUGGGAUACUGCCGGGGUCAACUCGGAGGAAGGUGGGGAUGACGUCAAAUCAUCAUGCCCCUUAUGUCUUGGGCUUCACGCAUGCUACAAUGGCCGGUACAAAGGGCUGCAAUACCGCGAGGUGGAGCGAAUCCCAAAAAGCCGGUCCCAGUUCGGAUUGAGGUCUGCAACUCGACCUCAUGAAGUCGGAGUCGCUAGUAAUCGCAGAUCAGCAACGCUGCGGUGAAUACGUUCCCGGGUCUUGUACACACCGCCCGUCAAGUCAUGAAAGUCGGUAACACCUGAAGCCGGUGGCCCAACCCUUGUGGAGGGAGCCGUCGAA
rnacentral:rRNA from 1 species